UGCCCAGCAACUCGUAUCCUUACCUCCUCGUGGUACCGACCGGAAACUACGAGCAACCUUAGGGAAGAUCGGGUAACCCCCCUCCCCCCAUCGGGGAACUUUGGUCGUAGGCUGACAGGGAAGG
rnacentral:ribozyme from 1 species